GAGGGUAUAGCUCAAGUGGUAGAGCGUGUGCUUAGCAUGCAUGAGGUCCUAGGCUCAAUCCCCAGUACCUCCU
rnacentral:tRNA from 1 species